rnacentral:rRNA from 1 species
GACGAACGCUGGCGGCGUGCUUAACACAUGCAAGUCGAACGGAAAGGCCCUGCUUGCAGGGUACUCGAGUGGCGAACGGGUGAGUAACACGUGGGUGAUCUGCCCUGCACUUCGGGAUAGGCCUGGGAAACUGGGUCUAAUACCGGAUAGGAGCCAUUUUUAGUGUGAUGGUUGGAAAGUUUUUUUCGGUGUAGGAUGAGCUCGCGGCCUAUCAGCUUGUUGGUGGGGUAAUGGCCUACCAAGGCGGCGACGGGUAGCCGGCCUGAGAGGGUGGACGGCCACAUUGGGACUGAGAUACGGCCCAGACUCCUACGGGAGGCAGCAGUGGGGAAUAUUGCACAAUGGGCGCAAGCCUGAUGCAGCGACGCCGCGUGGGGGAUGACGGCCUUCGGGUUGUAAACUCCUUUCGCUAGGGACGAAGCUUUUUGUGACGGUACCUAGAUAAGAAGCACCGGCUAACUACGUG